UACGGAGGGGGCUAGCGUUGUUCGGAAUUACUGGGCGUAAAGCGCGCGUAGGCGGACCUGCAAGUCGGGGGUGAAAGCCCGAGGCUCAACCUCGGAACUGCCUUCGAUACUGCGGGUCUCGAGUCCGGGAGAGGUGAGUGGAAUUCCUAGUGUAGAGGUGAAAUUCGUAGAUAUUAGGAAGAACACCAGUGGCGGAAGGCGGC
rnacentral:rRNA from 1 species